rnacentral:snRNA from 1 species
AUAGAUACUUUGUAUUCUUUAAAUUAUAAUAGAUGAAAAUUGCACUUCAGUCAUCACUCGACUGCAUAAUGUGUGGUAGUGGGGGACUGCGUUCACGCUCUCCCCGU